AACGAACGCUGGCGGCAGGCUUAACACAUGCAAGUCGAGCGCCCCGCAAGGGGAGCGGCAGACGGGUGAGUAACGCGUGGGAAUCUACCGUGCCCUAAGGAAUAGCUCCGGGAAACUGGAAUUAAUACCUUAUACGCCCUUCGGGGGAAAGAUUUAUCGGGGUAUGAUGAGCCCGCGUGGGAUUAGCUAGUUGGUGGGGUAAAGGCCUACCAAGGCGACGAUCCAUAGCUGGUCUGAGAGGAUGGUCAGCCACAUUGGGACUGGGACACGGCCCAAACUCCUACGGGAGGCAGCAGUGGGGAAUAGUGGACAAUGGGCGCAAGCCUGAUCCAGCCAUGCCGCGUGAGUGAUGAAGGCCCUAGGGUUGUAAAGCUCUUUCACCGGUGAAGAUAAUGACGGUAACCGGAGAAGAAGCCCCGGCUAACUUCGUGCCAGCAGCAGCCGCGGUAA
rnacentral:rRNA from 1 species